AUACGGAGGGUCCAAGUGUUAUCCGGAAUCAUUGGGUUUAAAGGGUCCGCAGGCGGUCAAUUAAGUCAGAGGUGAAAGCCCAUCGCUCAACGAUGGAACUGCCUUUGAUACUGGUUGACUUGAGUUAUACGGAAGUAGAUAGAAUAAGUAGUGUAGCGGUGAAAUGCAUAGAUAUUACUUAGAAUACCGAUUGCGAAGGCAGUCUACUACGUAUAUACUGACGCUGAGGGACGAAAGCGUGGGGAGCGAACAGGAUUAGAAACCCCAGUAGUCC
rnacentral:rRNA from 1 species